UACGUAGGGAGCAAGCGUUGUCCGGAAUCAUUGGGCGUAAAGCGCGCGUAGGUGGCCAUGUAAGUCCGCUGUGAAAGUCAAAGGCUCAACCUUUGAAAGCCGGUGGAUACUGCAUGGCUAGAGUACGGAAGAGGCGAGUGGAAUUCCUGGUGUAGCGGUGAAAUGCGCAGAUAUCAGGAGGAACACCGGUGGCGAAGGCGGCUCUCUGGACCUGUCCUGACGCUCAGGCGCGAAAGCUAGGGGAGCAAACAGG
rnacentral:rRNA from 1 species